rnacentral:rRNA from 1 species
UACGAAGGGGGCGAGCGUUGUUCGGAAUUACUGGGCGUAAAGGGCGCGUAGGCGGCCCCUUUUGUCGCGUGUGAAAGCCCCGGGCUCAACCUGGGAGGUGCGCGCGAAACGGGGGGGCUUGAGUUCGGGAGAGGAGAGUGGAAUUCCCAGUGUAGAGGUGAAAUUCGUAGAUAUUGGGAAGAACACCGGUGGCGAAGGCGGCUCUCUGGACCGAGACUGACGCUAAGGCGCGAAAGCGUGGGGAGCAAACAGG